GGGCGGAGGGGGUGCCUGGCGGUGGCGCGGGAGCAGCGGUCCCGGUUCUACAUCUUCCGGCGCUGCGUCGCCAUGCUCGUCUGCUGGCACAAGUACAAGAAGAUCUGAGCGGCCCCCGCCCUUCUCGCCGAUAAUCUCUCUGUAAUAUAAUCCUGUCGACUUGUCCUGCAUCGCCCCAUCCCUCUUGGCCUCUUGUACAUAUUUGUAUACCGAAUCGUUCCAUGCAAGUCAGUGGCUUCAGACCCUACUGACUCUGAUUUGCAUCCAUCAAGCAUCAACCAGUGCGCCUCAUCUCGACGCAGCAAUUUCAGG
rnacentral:lncRNA from 1 species